rnacentral:rRNA from 1 species
CUAAGCAUAUCAAUAAGCGGAGGAAAAGAAACCAACAGGGAUUGCCUCAGUAACGGCGAGUGAAGCGGCAAAAGCUCAGAUUUGAAAUCUGGCGUCAUUUUGGCGUCCGAGUUGUAAUCUGUAGAGGAGUAUUCGAGUGUGGAUUUGGCUUAAGUUCCUUGGAACAGGACGUCAUAGAGGGUGAGAACCCCGUUAACGGCCUAUGUCUUAUGCUCAUGUGAAUCUCCUUCAACGAGUCGAGUUGUUUGGGAAUGCAGCUCUAAAUGGGUGGUAAAUUCCAUCUAAAGCUAAAUACUGGCAAGAGACCGAUAGCGCACAAGUAGAGUGAUCGAAAGAUGAAAAGAACUCUGAACAGAGAGUUAAAUAGUACGUGAAAUUGUUGAAAGGGAAGCACUUGCUACCAGACACGCCUGUAGUUGAUCAACCUCCAUUUUUGGUGGUGCACUCGGCUAUAGGUGGGUCAGCAUCAGUUACAACGGUGGGAUAAAGGCCUUGGGAAUGUAGCUUCCUUCGGGAAGUGUUAUAGCCCUUGGUGUAAUACCAUCUGAUGUGACUGAGGCCCGCGCUUCGGCGAGGAUGCUGGCAUAAUGGUCGUAAGUGACCCGUCUUGAAACACGGACCAAGGAGUCUAACAUCUAUGCGAGUGUUUGGGCGUCAAAACCCUUACGCGGAAUGAAAGUGAAUGAAGGUGGGAACCGCAAGGUGCACCAUCGACCGAUCCUGAUGUUUUCGGAUGGAUUUGAGUAGGAGCAUAGCUGUUGGGACCCGAAAGAUGGUGAACUAUGCCUGAAUAGGGUGAAGCCAGAGGAAACUCUGGUGGAGGCUCGCAGCGGUUCUGACGUGCAAAUCGAUCGUCAAAUUUGGGUAUAGGGGCGA